UAAUUUGAUCAAAAUUACAGAUCUGUGUAAAUAAGGACGUAUCAAAUAUUUAAUCCGCACUAAUUUGAUACGCGUACUAACCGAUUUAAUGGUGUAAAAGGGGUCAAAGGGUCACAGUACCAUGCGAUAACAAGAAUCUAAUAAAUCCAAUAAAAGUUUCCUCGAGAAGCAGAGGCCAUACGUAUAAAAUAAUCUCAAAUUUCAGCGUCAAUUGAGUCUCAGUGUCAACACAAAUCACAAUCAAAGAUGCGUUGGUAUUAUAGUCUAUUUUCGUUAUAUCUUCAUUAGCGAUUGGAACUUCAUAAACUAAGAAUUUUAAGUGUCCCCACAGAUAAAAAUCUAGAGAAUUUAGAUCAGAAGAUUGUGGAAGCCAUAAUACUUAAACUUUUUUUUUUAAAUAGGAUCGAGAAAGUUCUGGUAGGAUGAUCCAUUUUGACCAUUUUUCUAUACUUCUUAUCUCAGUAACAAUUUGCGGACAUGUUCAUAUAUACUUUUUUUCAUGUUUGGUGUGGGGACCUCGAAGUUUGUUAUCUUAUUUUAGUUACACCCUGUAUACAGCAAAAAAUAUAGAGAUAGUAAACAGGGGAGCUUAUUUUUCAUUAUAAUUUUAUUAAAGUGUAAGAACUUCGCUUCUAAUAUUGCAACGUACUUCGUCUAUUAACUCAAAGCUACUCUGUU